rnacentral:rRNA from 1 species
UACGUAGGGGGCUAGCGUUGUCCGGAUUUAUUGGGCGUAAAGCGCGUGUAGGCGGUCCGGUAAGUCCGCUGUGAAAGUCGGGGGCUCAACCCUCGAAUGCCGGUGGAUACUGUCGGGCUAGAGUGCGGAAGAGGCGAGUGGAAUUCCUGGUGUAGCGGUGAAAUGCGCAGAUAUCAGGAGGAACACCAAUUGCGAAGGCAGCUCGCUGGGACGUUACUGACGCUGGAGACGCGAAAGCGUGGGGAGCAAACAGG